rnacentral:rRNA from 1 species
CAAUCACUUGUCUUUUAAAUGUAGACCUGUAUGAAUGGCAUAACGAGGGCUUAACUGUCUCCUUUUUCCAGUCAAUGAAAUUGAUCUCUCCGUGCAGAAGCGGAGAUAAUUACAUAAGACGAGAAGACCCUAUGGAGCUUUAGACAAAAGACAGACCAUGUUAAACAAACUGACCUAAACAGAAUAAACCUAUUGGCCUACUGCCUAGAUGUCUUUGGUUGGGGCGACCGCGGGGUAAUAAAAAACCCCCACGUGGAACGAGAAUAUUUUCUCAAAACCCAGAUUGACAACUCCAAGUAACAGAAAUUCUGACCAAAAAUGAUCCGGCAUAUGCCGAUCAACGAACCGAGUUACCCUAGGGAUAACAGNGCAAUCCCCUCCUAGAG